rnacentral:rRNA from 1 species
GACGAACGCUGGCGGCGUGCUUAACACAUGCAAGUCGAACGGAAAGGCCCUGCUUUUGUGGGGUGCUCGAGUGGCGAACGGGUGAGUAACACGUGAGUAACCUGCCCUUGACUUUGGGAUAACUUCAGGAAACUGGGGCUAAUACCGGAUAGGAGCUCCUGCUGCAUGGUGUGGGUUGGAAAGUUUCGGCGGUUGGGGAUGGACUCGCGGCUUAUCAGCUUGUUGGUGGGGUAGUGGCUUACCAAGGCUUUGACGGGUAGCCGGCCUGAGAGGGUGACCGGCCACAUUGGGACUGGGAUACGGCCCAGACUCCUACGGGAGGCAGCAGUGGGGAAUAUUGCACAAUGGGCGGAAGCCUGAUGCAGCAACGCCGCGUGCGGGAUGACGGCCUUCGGGUUGUAAACCGCUUUCGCCUGUGACGAAGCGUGAGUGACGGUAAUGGGUAAAGAAGCACCGGCUAACUACGU